rnacentral:rRNA from 1 species
GACGAACGCUGGCGGCGUGCUUAACACAUGCAAGUCGAACGGAAAGGCCUGCUUUCCCUUGUGGAUUGCGGGUACUCGAGUGGCGAACGGGUGAGUAACACGUGAGUGAUCUGCCCCCAACUUGGGUAUAAGCCUGGGAAACUGGGUCUAAUUCCCGAUAGGACUGCAGGGUGGUGCCUGUGGUGGAAAACGAUUUUCUAGUGGUUGGGGAUGAGCUCGCGGCCUAUCAGCUUGUUGGUGGAGUAAUGGCCUACCAAGGCGGCGACGGGUAGCCGGCCUGAGAGGGUGGACGGCCACAUUGGGACUGAGAUACGGCCCAGACUCCUACGGGAGGCAGCAGUGGGGAAUAUUGCACAAUGGGCGGAAGCCUGAUGCAGCGACGCCGCGUGGGGGAUGACGGCCUUCGGGUUGUAAACUCCUUUCGACCGCGAGGAAGCCACCUGGUUGGAAGGGUGGUGACGGUAGUGGUAGAAGAAGCACCGGCUAACUACGUG